rnacentral:rRNA from 1 species
GGGUGCGAUCAUACCAGCACUAAUGCACCGGAUCCCAUCUGAACUCCGCAGUUAAGCGUGCUUGGGCGAGUGUAGUACUAUGAUGGGUGACCUCCUGA